rnacentral:rRNA from 1 species
AAUCUUCGGCAAUGGACGCAAGUCUGACCGAGCAACGCCGCGUGAGUGAGGAAGGUCUUCGGAUCGUAAAGCUCUGUUGCCAGGAAAGAAUGGCUUCUUGUUAACUGCAAGGCGAUUGACGUUACCUGAGAAGAAAGCCCCGUCCAACUACGUGCCGACAGCCGCGGUAAUACGUAGGGGGCAAGCGUUGUCCGGAAUUAUUCGGCGUAAAGCGCGCGCAGGCGGCUGUUUAAGUCUUAUGUUUAAACCCAAGGCUCAACCUUGGGUCGCAUGGGUAACUGGGCAGCUUGAGUGUAGGAGAGGAAAGUGGAAUUCCACGUGUAGCGGUGAGAUGCGUAGAGAUGUGGAGGAACACCAGUGGCGAAGGCGACUUUCUGGCCUAUAACUGACGCUGAGGCGCGAAAGCGUGGGGAGCAAAC